UACGAAGGGGGCUAGCGUUGCUCGGAAUUACUGGGCGUAAAGGGCUCGUAGGCGGCCAACUAAGUCAGACGUGAAAUCCCUCGGCUUAACCGGGGAACUGCGUCUGAUACUGGAUGGCUAGAGAUUGGGAGAGGGAUGCGGAAUUCCAGGUGUAGCGGUGAAAUGCGUAGAUAUCUGGAGGAACACCGGUGGCGAAGGCGGCAUCCUGGACCAACACUGACGCUGAGGAGCAAAAGCCAGGGGAGCAAACGGG
rnacentral:rRNA from 1 species